UACGUAGGGGGGCGAGCGUUGUCCGGAUUUAUUGGGCGUAAAGAGCGUGUAGGCGGCCAGGUAGGUCCGUUGUGAAAAACUCGAGGCUCAACCUCGAGACGUCGAUGGAAACCAUCUGGCUAGAGUCCGGAAGAGGAGAGUGGAAAUUCCUGGUGUAGCGGUGAAAUGCGCAGAUAUCAGGAAGAACACCUAUGGCGAAGGCAGCUCUCUGGGACGGUACUGACGCUGAGACGCGAAAGCGUGGGGAGCGAACAGG
rnacentral:rRNA from 1 species